UACCCGCGGCCCGAGUUGUGACCAUUAUUAUUGAGUCUAAAGCGUUCGUAGCUGGUUUGGAUAGUUUGUGCUUAAAUCUUUUCGUUUAACGAAAAGGCAUGGUAUAAAUACUUCCAGACUAGAGGCCGGGAGGGGAGAUGGGAACUUUUCGGGUAGGAGUAAAAUCCUUUAAUCCGAAAAAGACCACCAAUAGCGAAGGCACAUCUCCAGAACGGACCUGACGGUGAGGGACGAAGGCUAGGAGAACAAACCGGAUCAGAUACCCGGGUAGCCCUAGCAGUAAACGCUGCUUACUAUACGUUGCAUUUUCUUGAGAAAAUGCAGUGUGACAGCGAAGGCGUUAAGUAAGCCACUUGGGGAGUAUAAUCGCAAGGUCGAAACUUAAAGGAAUUGGCGGGGGAGCACAAAAACGGGUGAAGUUUGCGGUUUAAUUGGAUUCAACUCCGGGAAUCUUACCAGAAGCGACAGCAAUAUGAAGGCCAGUCUGAAGAACUUGCCAAAUGCGCUGAAAGGUGUUGCAUGGCCAUCAUCAGUUAGUAUCUUGAGACGUCCCGUUAAGUCGGGUAACUAACAAGACCCUCUUCUAUAUUUGCUAACAUGCAAUCCGUUGUGAAUGAGCAAAAUAUAGAGACAGCUUUCGAAAGAAAGAGGAAGGUGAGGGCGACGGUAGGUCAGUACGACCCUAAUCCUCUGGGCUACACGCGAAUUGCAAUGGUAAAGGCAAUAGGAUGCCACUCCGAAAGGAGGAGCUAAUCCCCGAAUCUUUACCCUAGUUCGGAUCGAGGUCUGUAACUCGGCCUCGUGAAGGCGGAAUCCGUAGUAACCGCGUUUCAACAAAGCGCGGUGAAUACUUUCCUGCUCCU
rnacentral:rRNA from 1 species